rnacentral:rRNA from 1 species
UACGAAGGGGGCUAGCGUUGCUCGGAAUCACUGGGCGUAAAGCGCACGUAGGCGGCUUCUUAAGUCAGGGGUGAAAUCCUGGAGCUCAACUCCAGAACUGCCUUUGAUACUGAGUAGCUUGAGUCCGGGAGAGGUGAGUGGAACUGCGAGUGUAGAGGUGAAAUUCGUAGAUAUUCGCAAGAACACCAGUGGCGAAGGCGGCUCACUGGCCCGGUACUGACGCUGAGGUGCGAAAGCUAGGGGAGCAAACAGG